rnacentral:lncRNA from 1 species
AGCUAGCCGCGGGGCCGCGCGGUCCGGCCGUCGGAGCCGGUGGGGCGGGGGCGCCGCCGAGACAGAUCGGAUUUCCACCUUUUCUUAAAUGCGCUGCUGAAAGUCGAGACCGCCCUGGCCUGGGAGCUCGCGUCGCUUCCUCCCCCCGCAGCUCACCUCGUACCCCGAGUCCCCCAGCCCUACUCCGGGAGGGGCCGCGAAACUGCACCCGCAAGGACCUCAUACAUAUUUUAGGGAGCAGGCCCUGCAGGAGACUCGCCGCCUCGAGUUCUGUCCUUUUUUCUGGUGUCGCGGCCUGUCCCUCUCCACAAAGCUCCCUUCGCCAGCUGCAUGACAAUCCCCCUCGCGCUGAAGACCUUGGGCGAAGAAGUAACCAACCGUCGGUCCUCCUCUCCUUUCCCAACGGAAAGAAUGACUCGCACCUCAUGUGAUCACGCGGGUACUUGGCGACCCGGAGAUCUCUG